CAGGAUUCUAGUCAUAUUGUAAGACCAUUGCAAUGAAAAUAGUAACCUUUAACAAUGGCAGGUCUGCAAGAUGUGGGAAGAAGCAUUGAUUAAUAUUUACUGAGCAGAUACUUUAAAAUUCAUACCCUCAAAUAACCCGAGAGAAAGACCUGUACGACAGAGCUUUAUCUAAACUCUCACUUUGCUUGUAAUACCUUUAAAUUUUUACUAAUACAAUAUAGGAUAAAAGAAUAGCCAGGAAAAAAAAAGCUCCCACAGGAAAUACAAGUCUUGGCUUAAGUAAACUUAAUGUGUGUCAAUCAAAUAAUAAUUAUAAUAAUAGAAAAAUGUUAGCACACAAAAAUUAGGUGUGAUUAUUUGUAUUGAAAUAGCUUUUUCAGAUUUGCUGCAGGGUUGCUUUAACCCAACAUUCAUCAUGGUUUAUUUCUCCAUUUUUUUUCCUCAGCACACAAUUCUUAGGGAUACUUUUAUCGUAUGAAACAAGCCGAGUACAUAUUAUUACCUAUUCGUCAAACCAGUACAUCACUUUUAACCUGUCUUUGGAUAAUCAGGUGUCCCUUUUUCAGUUGUUGUUUAAAAAAAAUAAACAUUGGCACCAGGCAGGUCUUUGUGACCCCACAAGAUUGACAACCAGGGACUGUUUACACUGACUGGAUAAGCACAGCUUAUCUUCCUGACGCUCUGGGUCUGAAUGAUUUUGAAACAUAAUCUAUGACUGGGCUUUGUGAAGUAUUGAAGGACUUCAUAUGUUUGUGACUGCUCAGACCCAUGCUAACCACACACUCACAGGUGCUGGCUUCACUCCUUGGCUAAUCUGUCUCACUUCUGCUUACCUCAGAACUAUGUUCCUGGAUUUGUCACUGAGAAUGGCAUCCAGGGUGCUGGUUGUAUUUCUAGUUGGCCAUUCCUGAAUCCUUGGGAUGCACUGAAGUAGCACAUGGCAUUUUUACUGUGAUUCUGCUAUGGACUGAAUUGUGUUCCCCCUGGAGUCCAUAUGUUGAAGCACGUAUCUGGAGAUGGAGUCUUUAAGAGAUAAUCAAGAUUGAGUAAGGUCUUAAGGGUUGGGCCUCAAUUUGAAAGGACAAUGGUGUUCUAAAAAGAAGAAGAGAUU
rnacentral:lncRNA from 1 species